rnacentral:rRNA from 1 species
CCUACGGGCGGCAGCAGUGGGGAAUAUUGCACAAUGGGCGCACGCCUGAUGCAGCCAUGCCGCGUGUAUGAAGAAGGCCUUCGGGUUGUAAAGGACUUUCAGCGAGGAGGCGUUACUCGCAGAAGAAGCACCGGCUAACUCCGUGCCAGCAGCCGCGGUAAUCCGGGGGGUGCAAGCGUUCAUCGGAAUUACUGGGCGUAAAGCGCACGCAGGCGGUUUGUCAAGUCGGAUGUGAAAUCCCCGGGCUCAACCUGGGAACUGCAGUCGAAACGGGCAAGCUAGAGUCUUGUAGAGGGGGGUAGAAUUCCAGGUGUAGCGGUGAAAUGCGUAGAGAUCUGGAGGAAUACCGGUGGCGAAGGCGGCCCCCUGGACAAGCUGACGCUCAGGUGCGAAAGCGUGGGGAGCAAACAGGAUUAGAUACCCUUGUAGUC